UACAGAGGCCUCAAGCGUUGUUCGGAUUCAUUGGGCGUAAAGGGUGCGUAGGCGGCCCGGUAAGUCCGCUGUAAAAGUCAAAGGCUCAACCUUUGAAUGUCAGUGGAUACUGCCGGGCUAGAGUCCGGAAGAGGCGAGUGGAACUCCUGGUGUAGCGGUGGAAUGCGCAGAUAUCAGGAAGAACACCAACGGCGAAGGCAGCUCGCUGGGACGGUACUGACGCUGAGACGCGAAAGCGUGGGGAGCGAACAGG
rnacentral:rRNA from 1 species